AUUGAACGCUGGCGGCAUGCUUUACACAUGCAAGUCGAACGGUAACAGGCCGCAAGGUGCUGACGAGUGGCGAACGGGUGAGUAAUGCAUCGGAACGUGCCCAGUCGUGGGGGAUAACGCAGCGAAAGCUGCGCUAAUACCGCAUACGAUCUAUGGAUGAAAGCGGGGGACCGUAAGGCCUCGCGCGAUUGGAGCGGCCGAUGUCAGAUUAGGUAGGUGGUGGGGUAAAGGCUCACCAAGCCAACGAUCUGUAGCUGGUCUGAGAGGACGACCAGCCACACUGGGACUGAGACACGGCCCAGACUCCUACGGGAGGCAGCAGUGGGGAAUUUUGGACAAUGGGCGCAAGCCUGCUCCAGCAAUGCCGCGUGCAGGAAGAAGGCCUUCGGGUUGUAAACUGCUUUUGUACGGAACGAAAAGGCUCUGGAUAAUACCUGGGGCUCAUGACGGUACCGUAAGAAUAAGCACCGGCUAACUACGUGCCAGCCGCCGCCGUAACAC
rnacentral:rRNA from 1 species